rnacentral:rRNA from 1 species
AUUGAACGCUGGCGGCAUGCCUUACACAUGCAAGUCGAACGGCAGCACGGGCGCAAUCCUGGUGGCGAGUGGCGAACGGGUGAGUAAUAUAUCGGAGCGUGCCCAGUAGUGGGGGAUAGCCUGGCGAAAGCCGGAUUAAUACCGCAUGAGACCUGAGGGUGAAAGCGGGGGAUCGCAAGACCUCGCGCUAUUGGAGCGGCCGAUAUCAGAUUAGCUAGUUGGUGGGGUAAAGGCCUACCAAGGCAACGAUCUGUAGUUGGUCUGAGAGGACGACCAGCCACACUGGGACUGAGACACGGCCCAGACUCCUACGGGAGGCAGCAGUGGGGAAUUUUGGACAAUGGGCGCAAGCCUGAUCCAGCAAUGCCGCGUGCAGGAAGAAGGCCUUCGGGUUGUAAACUGCUUUUGUCAGGGAAGAAAUCCCUUGGGAUAAUACCUCGGGGGGAUGACGGUACCUGAAGAAUAAGCACCGGCUAACUACGUGCCAGCCGCCGCCGUAAGAC